GUAGGUGAACCUGCGGAAGGAUCAUUAAAGAGAAGGGUUCCUCACGGAGCCCGACCUCCAACCCUUUGUCUACCAAACCUCUGUUGCCUCGGUGGGCCGCCGACGCCUUUACGGGCGUCGCCGUCGGCCUUGCGCUCUCGAGUGCCCGCCGUAGGACCUUCGAAACUCUUUUAGAACGAGUAUAAUCUGAGUGGGAUUUAAUGCUUCAAUAAAACUUUUAACAACGGAUCUCUUGGUUCUG
rnacentral:misc_RNA from 1 species